GGUUAAGCGACUAAGCGUACACGGUGGAUGCCCUGGCAGUCAGAGGCGAUGAAGGGCGUGCUAAUCUGCGAUAAGCGCCGGUAAGGUGAUAUGAACCGUUAUAACCGGCGAUACCCGAAUGGGGAAACCCAGUGUGACUCGUCACACUAUCAUUAACUGAAUCCAUAGGUUAAUGAGGCGAACCGGGGGAACUGAAACAUCUAAGUACCCCGAGGAAAAGAAAUCAACCGAGAUUCCCCCAGUAGCGGCGAGCGAACGGGGAGGAGCCCAGAGCCUGAAUCAGCAUGUGUGUUAGUGGAAGCGUCUGGAAAGGCGCGCGAUACAGGGUGACAGCCCCGUACACAAAAGCGCAUGUGCUGUGAGCUCGAUGAGUAGGGCGGGACACGUGGUAUCCUGUCUGAAUAUGGGGGGACCAUCCUCCAAGGCUAAAUACUCCUGACUGACCGAUAGUGAACCAGUACCGUGAGGGAAAGGCGAAAAGAACCCCGGCGAGGGGAGUGAAAAAGAACCUGAAACCGUGUACGUACAAGCAGUGGGAGCACCCUUUGGGGUGUGACUGCGUACCUUUUGUAUAAUGGGUCAGCGACUUAUAUUCUGUAGCAAGGUUAACCGUAUAGGGGAGCCGUAGGGAAACCGAGUCUUAACCGGGCGUUAAGUUGCAGGGUAUAGACCCGAAACCCGGUGAUCUAGCCAUGGGCAGGUUGAAGGUUGGGUAACACUAACUGGAGGACCGAACCGACUAAUGUUGAAAAAUUAGCGGAUGACCUGUGGCUGGGGGUGAAAGGCCAAUCAAACCGGGAGAUAGCUGGUUCUCCCCGAAAGCUAUUUAGGUAGCGCCUCGUGAAUUCAUCUCCGGGGGUAGAGCACUGUUUCGGCUAGGGGGCCAUCCCGGCUUACCAACCCGAUGCAAACUGCGAAUACCGGAGAAUGUUAUCACGGGAGACACACGGCGGGUGCUAACGUCCGUCGUGAAGAGGGAAACAACCCAGACCGCCAGCUAAGGUCCCAAAGUCAUGGUUAAGUGGGAAACGAUGUGGGAAGGCCCAGACAGCCAGGAUGUUGGCUUAGAAGCAGCCAUCAUUUAAAGAAAGCGUAAUAGCUCACUGGUCGAGUCGGCCUGCGCGGAAGAUGUAACGGGGCUAAACCAUGCACCGAAGCUGCGGCAGCGACGCUGAUGCGUUGUUGGGUAGGGGAGCGUUCUGUAAGCCUGCGAAGGUGACCUGUGAGGGUUGCUGGAGGUAUCAGAAGUGCGAAUGCUGACAUAAGUAACGAUAAAGCGGGUGAAAAGCCCGCUCGCCGGAAGACCAAGGGUUCCUGUCCAACGUUAAUCGGGGCAGGGUGAGUCGACCCCUAAGGCGAGGCCGAAAGGCGUAGUCGAUGGGAAACGGGUUAAUAUUCCCGUACUUGGUGUUACUGCGAAGGGGGGACGGAGAAGGCUAUGUUGGCCGGGCGACGGUUGUCCCGGUUUAAGCGUGUAGGUGUGUGUUCCAGGUAAAUCCGGUUCACUUUAACACUGAGGCGUGACGACGAGGCACUACGGUGCUGAAGCAACAAAUGCCCUGCUUCCAGGAAAAGCCUCUAAGCAUCAGGUAACAUCAAAUCGUACCCCAAACCGACACAGGUGGUCAGGUAGAGAAUACCAAGGCGCUUGAGAGAACUCGGGUGAAGGAACUAGGCAAAAUGGUGCCGUAACUUCGGGAGAAGGCACGCUGACACGUAGGUGAAGUGAUUUACUCAUGGAGCUGAAGUCAGUCGAAGAUACCAGCUGGCUGCAACUGUUUAUUAAAAACACAGCACUGUGCAAACACGAAAGUGGACGUAUACGGUGUGACGCCUGCCCGGUGCCGGAAGGUUAAUUGAUGGGGUCAGCGCAAGCGAAGCUCCUGAUCGAAGCCCCGGUAAACGGCGGCCGUAACUAUAACGGUCCUAAGGUAGCGAAAUUCCUUGUCGGGUAAGUUCCGACCUGCACGAAUGGCGUAAUGAUGGCCAGGCUGUCUCCACCCGAGACUCAGUGAAAUUGAACUCGCUGUGAAGAUGCAGUGUACCCGCGGCAAGACGGAAAGACCCCGUGAACCUUUACUAUAGCUUGACACUGAACAUUGAGCCUUGAUGUGUAGGAUAGGUGGGAGGCUUUGAAGUGUGGACGCCAGUCUGCAUGGAGCCGACCUUGAAAUACCACCCUUUAAUGUUUGAUGUUCUAACGUGGACCCGUUACCCGGGUUGCGGACAGUGUCUGGUGGGUAGUUUGACUGGGGCGGUCUCCUCCUAAAGAGUAACGGAGGAGCACGAAGGUUGGCUAAUCCUGGUCGGACAUCAGGAGGUUAGUGCAAUGGCAUAAGCCAGCUUGACUGCGAGCGUGACGGCGCGAGCAGGUGCGAAAGCAGGUCAUAGUGAUCCGGUGGUUCUGAAUGGAAGGGCCAUCGCUCAACGGAUAAAAGGUACUCCGGGGAUAACAGGCUGAUACCGCCCAAGAGUUCAUAUCGACGGCGGUGUUUGGCACCUCGAUGUCGGCUCAUCACAUCCUGGGGCUGAAGUAGGUCCCAAGGGUAUGGCUGUUCGCCAUUUAAAGUGGUACGCGAGCUGGGUUUAGAACGUCGUGAGACAGUUCGGUCCCUAUCUGCCGUGGGCGCUGGAGAACUGAGGGGGGCUGCUCCUAGUACGAGAGGACCGGAGUGGACGCAUCACUGGUGUUCGGGUUGUCAUGCCAAUGGCACUGCCCGGUAGCUAAAUGCGGAAGAGAUAAGUGCUGAAAGCAUCUAAGCACGAAACUUGCCCCGAGAUGAGUUCUCCCUGAGACUUAGAGUCUCCUGAAGGAACGUUGAAGACGACGACGUUGAUAGGCCGGGUGUGUAAGCGCAGCGAUGCGUUGAGCUAACCGGUACUAAUGAACCGUGAGGCUUAACCUU
rnacentral:rRNA from 1 species